GGGUUCAUGGCCUAAUGGUAAGGCGUCAGAUUUCGGUUCCGUCUCUAUGAUUCACCAUCCUCUGAAGAUUGCAGGUUCGAUCCCUGCUGAGCUCG